rnacentral:rRNA from 1 species
UACGUAGGGGGCAAGCGUUGUCCGGAAUCAUUGGGCGUAAAGCGCGUGUAGGCGGCUCGAUAAGUCUGCUGUGAAAGUCCAGGGCUCAACCCUGGGAUGCCGGUGGAUACUGUCGAGCUCGAGUCCGGAAGAGGAGUGUGGAAUUCCUGGUGUAGCGGUGAAAUGCGCAGAUAUCAGGAGGAACACCAAUGGCGAAGGCAGCUCGCUGGGACGUGACUGACGCUGAGACGCGAAAGCGUGGGGAGCAAACAGG